rnacentral:rRNA from 1 species
AGCGCAGGCGGUUUUUUAAGUCUGAUGUGAAAGCCUUCGGCUUAACCGAAGAAGUGCAUUAGAAACUGGAAAACUUGAGUGCAGAAGAGGACAGUGGAACUCCAUGUGUAGCGGUGAAAUGCGUAGAUAUAUGGAAGAACACCAGUGGCGAAGGCGGCUGUCUGGUCUGUAACUGACGCUGAGGCUGAAAGUAUGGGGAGCAAACA